AGCAGGCUAGGGAUGCAGCAGGAGCUGGGAGGGGACAGACCCAGGACAGCUGACCCAAACUGGCCAACGGGGUAUUCCAUACCAUGUGACGUCAUGCUGAACAAUAUAUAGGGGUGGCUAGCCGGGGUGGGGGGCCGGCUGCUCGGGGAUAGGCUGGGCAUCGGUCAACGGGUGACACAAGGAGAAAAUUCAGAGAAAAUGGGAAACAAAAUGGAAGCAAAGAUUUGAAAUUCUGACUUUGGUUCUUCCUCAGAGCUUUGUGCCUGGAAAAAAGAACAACACAUUAACUUAGGAGCCACUCUAAAGUCUGAUGCCAGAAGGCAUUGGUCAUGUAAAUUCAGUCUUCAUGAUACCAGCAGCACUUCAGUGGUUUGACCCAUGCCCUUAGUGCUAAGUGGAUGGAUUACCAGGGCAAACAAAAGCUUCAGUGGGCUUUAGCCUCCAGCACUGCAUGAGUCAAGCAGCUCAAGCUGAAAAUGCCUCCAAGCUGAGGUGUUCAAAGCGUCAGGACAGUCAGAAAUCCAAACCAGACUGACUGAGAAGCACUGCUUUGGUAUUUCUUUUCAACCUUGUACAGCAUACUAAUAGGACUUCCUAGCUCCAGUUAUGGAAGGAAGAGUCCAUGUUUUCUUUCUAGUCUGCCACAGUGCACCAAGCAUUGCCUGGACUAGUGCUGGAGCUAAACAAAGCUAUUGGAAGACUGGGAAAUGUUUGUCAGUAUAAGGAAUGGAAUGGUUAAGGAAGCCAAUGCAUAGUGCUGUGACUAAUGCUACUAUAUUGCAAGAUCAUGAGAAAGAAGGAUCUACAUGAUGCCUGGCUAACUCACGCGUAUGCUCACCAAGGCAAAUUGAGAAAACAAGAGAUAAGCAGAAGAGAAUUUGGUAAAAAACAAGAUGAAAAGGAAGAAUAAAGACAUCGCAUUGUUUAUAUCUUUUAAAAUUAAGUAGGUGAGACCUAGAAGUUGGAAGGUGAGAAUACCAGUGUACUGAAUGGAGAAGAGAGUCAAAAGCUGCAGAAGCAAUAGAACACACUGUGAGUAUUCAGAGGCAGUCUUGUUUGGUAAGGAGCACAUGAGACAGAGUACAUGAAACAGAAGUGAGAAAAUCUCUGGGUCAUGGAACUUGUACAAAAGCAGUUUGUGACAAAGAGAAGGAGAAGAAUAAUGAAUGUCUGGGCAAGACAUAUUUCAGGUCUCACUGGAUAAAUACCAAAGUGGUAAAGAGCAACAGUACUCAGACAAAAACAAUUCUCCCAUUUAAACAAUAAAUCUGGAGAGGCAAGAUUGUUCUUCACUCAGAUAGUCCCCAUCCUGAAUUUGUUCAUUUUAUUGUUCUAGGAAUUUUACGCUUACUGGUUUAUGUAUGUAGCUUUUUUUUUUUUGCCUUUUUUUUUUUUUUCUCUCUAAAUUGACAAGAUCAUUUCAAAUUCUAAUCCUGUCCUCCAAUGUUUUUGCAUCUGUUCCAGUUUGGUGUCAGCUGUAGAUUUAAUGGGCUUACUCUCUGUGCUAUUAUCCAACAUUGUAAUGACAAUAUUGAAUCAUACUAAAUUAAAGACAGGCUCCUGAAGAGCCCAAUUUGAUAAAUCUCUCCAGUUUGACAGUGAGCCACUGACAGUUAUUCUCAGAGUGGUUUUCCAACCAGUUAUGCUCACCAAACAGUAGUAUCAGCUAGUUUAUCUUUUCAUGGCUUACUUAUGAAAAUGUCAUGUGCAACAAUAUCAAAAGCCUUACCAGAGUCAGCAUGUGUGACAUGCUUCCCCUCAUUCACAAGUCCUGUUAACUUUUCAUACAAAGAAAUUAGGUUAGUUUGAUGUGAUUUGUUUUUAAUGAAUCAGUGUUGGCUGCCUCUCAUCUUAUUCUUAUUUGAAGGUACUUAGAAGUGUCUGAUUAUUUAUUGUUGCUGUUUUCCAGAAAUUGGAGUUUUACAUCACAUUUGUUUACUUAAUUUGGACAAGUAUAAAUUAAUAUAUUUAUGGUAAUAUAUAUUUGAACAAGUAUAUAUUAGUAUGUUUAUGGUAAUAUGGCUGAAAAUAAAGCUUGCCUUUCUCUAGUGUUACUCAAAAUAAAAAUAAGCUCUACACCUUUGUAGUCAUAAAUAUAUUCAAUGCCGCCUUAGUAAUUUUAUAUACCCUACCAACUAGUUUCUUUGCUCUUAUGUUUUUCUGAAAGUUCAAGGUUAUGGAAAUGGUAACACUGUCCACCUUGCAAAGUUCUUGGACGCUUUUGAUGAUUUUCACACCCUUUAUUUUCACAGAUAAUACCAUUAUCAGAAAGCAAAACAAAACAAAACAAAACAAAAAACCUAUGUCCCUCUUUGCUUUUCUGUUUUUUUUUUUUUCAUAUAUUUUUAAAUGUGUAUAUAUAUAUUUCUUCUCCAGAAAACAGAUGCUUUGGAUGGACUGGUGUAUUACAGUUCAACCUUUUUUUUUUUUUUUUAAAUUUGCUUUAUGUGGGGACAAGUUGGAAAAGUUAUGUCCUUUAGAGGCCAGAAUCAAUACUACCACUAGAGCAAAAUGUGUAAAUUGCAUACUCCUUUCCUUUCAGCUUGUGUGACCCUCUGUACUGGGUUUUCAACAGCUCAGUUAAGGGGCCCCAUUGAAGAGCAAAAGAGUAGUAAGCUCUCUCCCUUGAAACCCUGCAAAGACAUUAAUUUACAAAUAUUUGUUAAUUACCUAGAGAAAAUAGAUGGUGUACACAUAUAUGAAACUUGUAUGGCUAUGCGUUUUUUUGUUGCUGUUGUUGUUUUGUUUUGUGUCUGUUUGUUGUUGUUGUUGUUUUGUUUUGUUUUCCUCGUAUUGCUAAAAUAUCUGAUUCCUGGUAAGGAUAACUACAGUCUUGGAAAGCAGGCUAUUACAAAGCCGAUUCUUUGUAUGCCCCAUCAUAAAACACACUUCAUAUUCUUUCCUGAUUUAUUUUAGAAAGCAAUGAUUGGAAUUCUGGAAAAAAAAAUAUAGAUGAAAUUAACAUUAAUCUUAAUAAAUGCUAUCAUAUUAUAUUAUAUGGAGAAUAGAAACAGCUAUGCAUACUUAGCACGUAUUUGGCCAAAACAGACUUCCAAAGACAGAAGCCAUAAAUUGGUUUUCUUACUAUAGGUGGAGGCUGCACAAUUCGGAUUACAAACAUAUAGUGAUCUAGUUAAGAGAGAGAGAAAAAACAAACAAACAAACAAGCAAACAAAAAAACCUCUCAAAAUCUUAGCAGACAUAUCUAAUUUUCAAUGGUGUUUUAACAACAAUAUUCCAAUUUACAGUUGGGACAGGGUGUAUACAUUUGGGCAGUCAGGCAGGCAGACAUAUGGCAGAAACCUAAUCCUGUGAUCACUUCCAAAUAAUCCUUUAUACUGUGAGUAAUGCUUACCACUGUGAAAUAUUAUAUCACACUUUUAGGUUUGUCUUGUGAAGCUGAUGAAGAAUAUUUAAUUCUUACAUCAAAAGCAAUACAUAUUUAAAAGCUUGCAGAUUAUAACAUGCACUUUUCCCAAUAAAUCAGUGCAUGUGAAAUUCAUGGUCCAGUUGGGAAACAGAUAAAUUUACGUGGCUUAUCAAUAGGCAUGCUGACUUUGUAUACAUCAUGCUAACAACUCAAUAAUAUGAAACUUAAAAAGUUCUUAAAAACUUGUUUUGUUUUUAGAGCUGUGAGGCUGGGUGAAAUCCAUUCACGUUUCCACGUGUUGAUAUUCUAAUUAUUGGAACUUGCACAUUUAGAGACUUGCAUUGCAUAAAGACAAUAUACUAUAUUGUCAUAUUAGUGCAAUCUGAACUAUUAAAUGAAAUGCCGAAAGAUAUCUUCCCUCCUGUUAUUUCAUAUUCAUAUAUGAAUACUUUGAACAAGGAGCUACAUGCUCUGUUCACUUCUCUUUCUGUGUCUUCACCCAAAACGUGAAAAAUAUCCACUGUUGUCCUAUGACUAUUGUGUUCUAUUAUGUUCCAAACCUCUCUGUACACAGCCUAAAUAAAUAAAUAAUUAAAUAAAGCAAAAUAAACAGAAAGCCUACAAUAAAGGAACAAACAUGUGCCUAAAAUCUUCAAGAAAUAAAAAUUCUCAACAUUAUGCAUAUGAAGAGUAACUUUAACAGCUAUGGUUACAAUUAUACUGCUUUUUCUUAUGUGGCAGUAUCCAUUUGGUGCUUUCUUCUAUUUUGUAAAUUCUGAUGAUAUUGGUGCUGCUUCAUGGGACUAGGAAUGACUGGAGAUCAUUGUCAUCUCUAUGUUAACAGCAAAUAUUCAUCACUAAACUCACAUCAUAUAUAAAGUUUCUCACGGUGUAAACAUUUUUGAUAUAUUUUGGCUCAUGGUCAUGUAGAACUCUAUCUGGAAUCUGCAGUCAGUGUUAGCAUUAUCAGUGGUCCUCAUGGAUGAGAAUAUUAUUAAAGCCCAUCCAUCUCAAUCACAGCUGACUAACUUCACUGGAACUCCUGACUCUUCUCAGUCAUCAGCUCACUCCAAGGAAGGAGCCAAUCAUAUAUACACCUAAACACAGAAACUGGUGAGCCUUUGGAGACCAUAAUGCUAUUCAUCUGUUUCCAUUUAGUUCUAAAUUUAGACAGAGAAUGGCUUUUCAAUGUAAAAUAAUUUCAGGCAGCACUGUGAAUUGCUGGUGGUUUUGCACUCACUUGCAUGCAUUCUUUGGCCAUUUCUAGAGACAAAUAUCAGUUGUUCUACUCAUUCUUUAUGUAAAUGUUAUCUUUAUUUUGCAUUGGCAGACCAUAUUGUUUUUAAGAAAAAUAAUAUGAAAUGCCAGCUGCAUGGGAAUAAACUGUGGGUAUUAUAGAAACAAUAGGUCCGAAACCAGAAUCUCAUGGCUACGCAAACACCACAACACGGCAAAUUCUCCCAAAGGACAAACUGUGGAAUCCAAUAGAGGUAUGACAUUAAACAAUAGUUACAUAUAUUAUUUUAAGAUUCCUAAGAAGGCUCUUCAAUAUUAGAAAUAGAAAGUAUGUACUAGAGGUAGGCUGUAUUUAUUUUUUUUCAGACUUUUAAGCUCUCGCUUUGUAAGGUGGGAAUGGAGAUGGAAGAAGUUAGGACCAAUAAGGCGAAAAUAUUAUAGAACAUUUUUGCAGUUUUUGCGGAAAAUAAGUAAGCUUGAAAGGGUAAUUGAAAUCAAUGGCCAAAAAAAAUAAAUAAAUAAAAAAUACUGUCUACCUAAGAAAUACUGUGCACUUUCAGACUUCAUUUUCUGUGGCCUGGAGUGUCUCACCUGGGACCAGAAUUUCAUAUAUCUCAGCUCAGCUAAAACAGCUUUUUUGACAUACUGUGUUUGAAAAUGGGAGCUCAGAUGAGAUGAUGGUUGUUAAUCACUGUCUUUGCCCUUGGAAUAUUAAAUAAAAAGCAGUGGAGGGGAGAGAAGGAGAGAGAGAGAAGAAGGAAGAAGUGGAGAACACCUGUGCAUUACAAUUAUAAGUAUAUAUGUAUAAAAUAGAUUUCUCACAAGAGUACUAGAAACAUAAAUGUGUAAUUCACUCUAGCAGCUGAUCCUUAUUUUGGAUAAAAAUGAACA